UUGGAAAAUUUGAAGGCUUCAACUUGCAGACUUGGAGAAUUUGAAGGCUUCAUCUUGUUGACUUGGAGAAUUUGGAGACUUUAAUU
rnacentral:pre_miRNA from 1 species